rnacentral:rRNA from 1 species
UACGUAGGUGGCAAGCGUUAUCCGGAAUUAUUGGGCGUAAAGCGCUCGCAGGCGGUUUCUUAAGUCUGAUGUGAAAGCCCACGGCUCAACCGUGGAGGGUCAUUGGAAACUGGGAGACUUGAGUGCAGAAGAGGAGAGUGGAAUUCCACGUGUAGCGGUGAAAUGCGUAGAGAUGUGGAGGAACACCAGUGGCGAAGGCGACUCUCUGGUCUGUAACUGACGCUGAGGCGCGAAAGCGUGGGGAGCAAACAGG